UGAGGAAUUUUGCGCAAUGGGGGAAACCCUGACGCAGCAACGCCGCGUGAGUGAUGAAGGCUUUCGGGUCGUAAAGCUCUGUCAAGUGGGAAGAACCUAUGCAGUGUUAAUACCACUGUAUACUGACGGUACCACUGAAGGAAGCACCGGCUAACUCCGUGCCAGCAGCCGCGGUAAUACGGGGGGUGCAAGCGUUAUUCGGAAUCAUUGGGCGUAAAGAGCACGUAGGCGGCCUGGUUAGUCAGAUGUGAAAGCCCGGGGCUUAACCCCGGAAGUGCAUUUGAUACUGCCAGGCUUGAGUAUGGGAGAGGGAAGUGGAAUUCCUGGUGUAGAGGUGAAAUUCGUAGAUAUCAGGAGGAACACCGGUGGCGAAGGCGACUUCCUGGACCAAUACUGACGCUGAGGUGCGAAGGCGUGGGUAGCAAACAGGAUUAGAUACCCUGGUAGUCCACGCAGUAAACGUUGAUCACUAGGUGUAGCGGGUAUUGACCCCUGCUGUGCCGCAGUUAACGCAUUAAGUGAUCCGCCUGGGGAGUACGGUCGCAAGAUUA
rnacentral:rRNA from 1 species